rnacentral:RNase_P_RNA from 1 species
AGAACAAGUGACCGCGGCUGUUUGAUACAGGUGAGGAAAGUCCGGGCUUCAUAGGGCAGGAUGCCGGAUAACGUCCGGUGGAGGUGACUCCAAGGCCAGUGCAACAGAAAUAUACCGCCUCCCAUGCGGAGGUAAGGGUGGAAGGGCAGUGUAAGAGACUACCGCCUGCAUGGUAACAUACAGGGCACAUGUAAACCCCAUUCGAAGCAAGACCAAAAAGAAAGCAUGAGGCUUGCCCGGCCAGCUUUCAGGUGGGUCGCUCGAGACUAUUGGCAACAGUAGUCCUAGAUAGAUGGUCACUCAACGACAUAACCCGGCUUAUCGUUCUGCUU